CCUACGGGCGGCAGCAGUGAGGAAUAUUGGUCAAUGGGCGAGAGCCUGAACCAGCCAAGUCGCGUGAACGAUGACGGCCCUACGGGUUGUAAACUUCUUUUGUCAGGGAGCAAUUGGGUCCACGCGUGGGCUUAGCGAGAGUACCUGAAGAACAAGCAUCGGCUAACUCCGUCCCAGCAGCGGCGGUAAUAGGGAGGAUGCGAGCUUUAUCCGGAUUUAUGGGGUUUGAAAGGUGCGUAAGGGGAAUAUCAAGGCAGCGGGAAAAAUUCGGGGGCCAACCCCGUCGUGCCGUUGAAACUGAUGUUCUUGAGUGGGCGAGAAGUAUGCGGAAUGCGUGGUGUAGCGGUGAAAUGCAUAGAUAUCACGCAGAACUCCGAUUGCGAAGGCAGCAUACCGGCGCCCAACUGACGCUGAAGCACGAAAGCGUGGGUAUCGAACAGGAUUAGAUACCCUUGUAGUC
rnacentral:rRNA from 1 species